rnacentral:rRNA from 1 species
AUUGAACGCUGGCGGCAGGCCUAACACAUGCAAGUCGAGCGAACGGCGGACGGGUGAGUAAUGUGUGGGGAUCUGCCCGAUAGAGGGGGAGAACUACUGUAAACUGUAGCUAAUCCCACAUACUCUCGGAUACCCCCAUAUGGGAUUAGCUAGUAGGUGGGGUAACGGCUUCACUAGGCCAAGAUCUCUAGCUGGUUUGAGAGGAUGAUAAGCCACACUGGGACUGAGACACGGCCCAGACUCCUACGGGAGGCAGCAGUGGGGAAUAUUGCACAAUGGGCGCAAGCCUGAUGCAGCCAUGCCGCGUGUAUGAAGAAGGCCCUAGGGUUGUAAAGUACUUUCAGUGGGGAGGCGUUACCCGCAGAAGAAGCACCGGCUAACUCCGUGCCAGCAGCCGCGGUAAUAC